rnacentral:rRNA from 1 species
ACCCGCUGAACUUAAGCAUAUCAAUAAGCGGAGGAAAAGAAACUAACAAGGAUUCCCCUAGUAACGGCGAGUGAAGCGGGAAAAGCUCAAAUUUAAAAUCUGACUGUCUACGACUGUCCGAGUUGUAAUCUAGAGAGGUGUUUUCCGUGCCGGACCGUGUAAAAGUCCCUUGGAACAGGGCGUCAUAGAGGGUGAGAAUCCCGUCCAUGACACGGACUACCGGUGCUCUGUGAUACACCUUCAAAGAGUCGAGUUGUUUGGGAAUGCAGCUCAAAAUGGGUGGUAAAUUCCAUCUAAAGCUAAAUAUAGGCGAGAGACCGAUAGCGAACAAGUACCGUGAGGGAAAGAUGAAAAGAACUUUGGAAAGAGAGUUAAACAGUACGUGAAAUUGUUGAAAGGGAAACGCCUGAAGUCAGUCGCGUCUGCUGGGACUCAACCUUGCUUUUGCCUGGUGUACUUCUCAGUAGAUGGGCCAGCAUCAAUUUCGGGCGCCGGAAAAGGAUUUGAGGAAUGUGGCAGCUUGCUGUGUUAUAGCCUCUUGUCGUACACGGUGCUUGGGAUUGAGGAAUGCAGCACGCCUUUUGGUCGGGGUUCUCCCACGCCGCGUGCUUAGGAUGCUGGCGUAAUGGCUUU